AUCAACUUUCGAUGGUAGGAUAGAGGCCUACCAUGGUGGUAACGGGUAACGGGGUGUUAGGGCACGACACCGGAGAGGGAGCCUGAGAAACGGCUACCACAUCCAAGGAUGGCAGCAGGCGCGCAAAUUACCCAAUCCCGACACGGGGAGGUAGUGACAAUAAAUAACAAUACGGGGUUCUUUAGGAUCUCGUAAUUGGAAUGAGUACAAUUUAAAUCUCUUAACGAGGAACAAUUGGAGGGCAAGUCUGGUACCAGCAGCCGCGGUAAUUCCAGCUCCAAUAGCGUAUAUUAAAGUUGUUGCAGUUAAAAAGCUCGUAGUUGAAUUUCGAGACCGGUUUACUGGUCGUGCUUUUGUACGUACUGGUAUUAUUGGUUUCUCCUUUCUGACGAAUCAUAAUGCCAUUAAUUUGGUGUUUUGGGGAAUCAGGACUGUUACUUUGAAAAAAUUAGAGUGUUUAAAGCAGGCUCACGCUUGAAUACAUUAGCAUGGAAUAACGAAAUAGGACGUUUGAUUUUAUUUUGUUGGUUUCUAGGAUCGACGCAAUGAUUAAUAGGGAUAGUUGGGGUCAUUAGUAUUCAAUUGUCAGAGGUGAAAUUCUUGGAUUUAUUGAAGACUAACUACUGCGAAAGCAUUUGCCAAGGAUGUUUUCAUUAAUCAAGAACGAAAGUUAGGGGAUCGAAGACGAUCAGAUACCGUCGUAGUCUUAACCAUAAACUAUGCCGACUAGGGAUCGGAUGAUGUUAUUUUUUAAUGACUCAUUCGGCGCCUUACGGGAAACCAAAGUGUUUGGGUUC
rnacentral:rRNA from 1 species